UACGUAGGGGGCAAGCGUUGUCCGGAAUCAUUGGGCGUAAAGCGCGUGUAGGCGGCCAGGUAAGUCCGUUCUGAAAGCCCGGGGCUCAACCCCGGGAGGCGGAUGGAUACUGCUUGGCUCGAGUCCGGAAGAGGCGAGUGGAAUUCCCGGUGUAGCGGUGAAAUGCGCAGAUAUCGGGAGGAACACCAAUGGCGAAGGCAGCUCGCUGGGACGGUACUGACGCUGAGACGCGAAAGCGUGGGAGCAAACAGG
rnacentral:rRNA from 1 species